ACAACUACCGUCGAAAGACGGGCUAAUAUCAGAUAAUGCAGCGGCUCCGCAUGGAGACAGUUGUUAAAGUACAAGCGCCUGAAGAUGAGCCUGCGGUCCAUUAGCUAGUUGGUAGAGUAACAGCCUACCAAGGCAACGAUGGAUAGCUGGUCUGAGAGGAUGAUCAGCCACACUGGAACUGAGACACGGUCCAGACUCCUACGGGAGGCAGCAGUAAGGAAUAUUGCUCAAUGGCCGAAAGGCUGAAGCAGCAACGCCGCGUGAAGGAUGAAUGGCCUUUGGCCUGUAAACUUCUGUAAAAGGGAAAAACAGUCAGGUAUAUCCUGAUUUGAUUGUACCUUUGAAGUAAGCCCCGGCUAACUACGUG
rnacentral:rRNA from 1 species